rnacentral:rRNA from 1 species
GAUGAACGCUGGCGGCGUGCCUAAUACAUGCAAGUCGAGCGAACAGACGAGGAGCUUGCUCCUCUGACGUUAGCGGCGGACGGGUGAGUAACACGUGGAUAACCUACCUAUAAGACUGGGAUAACUUCGGGAAACCGGAGCUAAUACCGGAUAAUAUAUUGAACCGCAUGGUUCAAUAGUGAAAGACGGUUUUGCUGUCACUUAUAGAUGGAUCCGCGCCGCAUUAGCUAGUUGGUAAGGUAACGGCUUACCAAGGCAACGAUGCGUAGCCGACCUGAGAGGGUGAUCGGCCACACUGGAACUGAGACACGGUCCAGACUCCUACGGGAGGCAGCAGUAGGGAAUCUUCCGCAAUGGGCGAAAGCUUGACGGAGCAACGCCGCGUGAGUGAUGAAGGUCUUCGGAUCGUAAAACUCUGUUAUUAGGGAAGAACAAAUGUGUAAGUAACUAUGCACGUCUUGACGGUACCUAAUCAGAAAGCCACGGCUACUACGUG